GAUGAACGCUGGCGGCGUGCCUAAUACAUGCAAGUCGAGCGAACAGAUAAGGAGCUUGCUCCUUUGACGUUAGCGGCGGACGGGUGAGUAACACGUGGGUAACCUACCUAUAAGACUGGAAUAACUCCGGGAAACCGGGGCUAAUGCCGGAUAACAUUUAGAACCGCAUGGUUCUAAAGUGAAAGAUGGUUUUGCUAUCACUUAUAGAUGGACCCGGGCCGUAUUAGCUAGUUGGUAAGGUAACGGCUUAACAAGGCAACGAUACGUAGCCGACCUGAGAGGGUGAUCGGCCACACUGGAACUGAGACACGGUCCAGACUCCUGCGGGAGGCAGCAGUAGGGAAUCUUACGCGAUGGGGGAAAGCCUGACGGAGCAAAGCGGCGGGAGUGAUGAAGGUGUUCGGAUCGUAGAACUAUGUUAUUAGGCAAGAACAAAUGUGUAAGUAACUGUGAACGUAUUGACGGUACCUAAUCAGAAAGCAACGGCUAACUACGUG
rnacentral:rRNA from 1 species